rnacentral:tRNA from 1 species
GGUAAUGUGGCUUAGUGGUAGAGUGUGUGCCUAACAUUCAUGAAGCCCUGGGUUCGAUUCCUCAGUGCCA